rnacentral:rRNA from 1 species
AACGAACGCUGGCGGCAGGCUUAACACAUGCAAGUCGAACGGAACCUUCGGGAUUAGUGGCAGACGGGGGAGUAACGCGUGGGAACGUACCCUUUUCUACGGGAUAACUCAUUUAAACUUGAGCUAAUACCGUAUGUGCCCUACGGGGGAAACAUUUAUCGGCCAAGGAUCGGCCCGCGUUGUAUUAACCAGGUGGGGGCGUAAUGGCCUACCAAGGCUACGAUCCAUAGCUGGGCUGAGAGGAUGAUCAGCCACACUGGGAGUGAGACACGGCCCAGAAUCCUACGGGAGGCAGCAGUGGGGAAUAUUGGGAAACGGGCGCAAGCAUGAUCCAGCCAUGCCGCGUGAGUGAUGAAGGUCUUAGGAUUGUAAGGCUGUUUAACCGGUGAAGAUACUGACGGUAGCCGGAGAAGAAGCCCCGGCUAACUUCGUG